rnacentral:rRNA from 1 species
UACGAAGGGGGCUAGCGUUGCUCGGAAUCACUGGGCGUAAAGGGUGCGUAGGCGGGUCUUUUAAGUCAGGGGUGAAAUCCUGGAGCUCAACUCCAGAACUGCCUUUGAUACUGGGGAUCUCGAGUCCGGAAGAGGUUAGUGGAACUGCGAGUGUAGAGGUGAAAUUCGUAGAUAUUCGCAAGAACACCAGUGGCGAAGGCGGACUGACUGGUCCGGUUCUGACGCUGAGGCGCGAAAGCGUGGGGAGCAAACAGGG